CAAUUUCAUUUAUUUUCUUCUCUUUUUGAGUACUGCACAUUCUGUUACAAGGAUAACAGGUAUGAUGAUUGUGUUUUUUGUCAAUUUCAAAAUUUCCACACUAAGAUAAAAUAUUUUGAAAAUUAUUGCUUAUUGCUAAUGCUGCUAACUGCAUGUAACAAUUGUUAAUUUAGAAGAUGCAAGGCACCCAUGGAGCUCUUCAGUGAUGUUUGCAUUGCUUACUACCUUUUACUGGUCCUAAUCAUAAUGCAGUCAAUAAAGCAGUGCCCUUCUGUAAUAUUGAAGAAAUGUCAGACUGGUUAUAAUUCUUAUGACUUUGUAAUCAUUGGAUAAAUCAUAUGGCAGCCAUCUGGCAUAAAUGUUUUUGUACUGCAGAACAUCUACCACAAUUUACUGAACAAUUCCUAUUUAACAACCAACCUAAUCCUAUGUUGGAUGCAAUAGCAUGCAAAUUUCUGGUUGAUCCUGUUGAAUCAAUUUAUCAAUACAUGCCAUGUUUACUUCUGCUGGUUAUAAACUUAGAUGUCCACUCUAUUGCAUAUUGCAGCCUGUAACAUCAUCCCUGUCAGAAUGAAACACGUGAUACUAUUUUGCUACAUGUUGUUUAUACAGAGUGUUUUGGAACACCCUGUAUAAACAACAGUGUGACAAACAUUGUUGUUUAUAUAGGGUGGACAAACUUACAGGAGAGAUAGAAAGGUUCAAAAGAAGCCAUUCUUUUGAGCCUUUCUACCUCUCCUAUAAGUUGUGUGUGGUGCGAGGAAAAAUUUCCUCACCCUACACACACUUAUCUUAGUCUCUAACCUAAAUCAUCUACCUUUGAUUGAAAUAAACUAUGAAUUCAAUCUCAGCUGGAUUAUAAACUUCUUCAAAUAAAAAUUUUGGAAUGGCAUUUUUGGAAUGGCUCGGAAACAAAGCACUUUAGUCAACAAGUGUCUAAAGUGCUUUGUUUCCGAAUUAUAAGAUGUGAAAGGGUUAUCCAAAAUUG
rnacentral:lncRNA from 1 species